AUUGAACGCUGGCGGCAGGCUUAACACAUGCAAGUCGAGCGGGGACUUCGGUCCUAGCGGCGAACGGGUGAGGAAUGCUUGGGAAUCUGCCUGGUAGUGGGGGAUAACGUUUCGAAAGGAACGCUAAUACCGCAUACGUCCUACGGGAGAAAGGGGGGGAUCUUCGGACCUCUCGCUAUCAGAUGAGCCCAAGUCGGAUUAGCUAGUUGGUGAGGUAAAGGCUCACCAAGGCGACGAUCCGUAGCUGGUCUGAGAGGAUGAUCAGCCACACUGGAACUGAGACACGGUCCAGACUCCUACGGGAGGCAGCAGUGGGGAAUAUUGGACAAUGGGCGAAAGCCUGAUCCAGCCAUGCCGCGUGUGUGAAGAAGGCCUUUUGGUUGUAAAGCACUUUAAGCGAGGAGGAGGCUACUAGUACUAAUACUACUGGAUAGUGGACGUUACUCGCAGAAUAAGCACCGGCUAACUCUGUGCCAGCCGCCGCGGUAAGAC
rnacentral:rRNA from 1 species